rnacentral:rRNA from 1 species
CCUACGGGAGGCAGCAGUGGGGAAUCUUGCGCAAUGGACGAAAGUCUGACGCAGCCAUGCCGCGUGAAUGAUGAAGGUCUUAGGAUUGUAAAGUUCUUUAGCCUGUGACGAUGAUGACGGUAACAGGAGAAUAAGCCCCGGCUAACUUCGUGCCAGCAGCCGCGGUAAUACGAAGGGGGCUAGCGUUGUUCGGAAUUACUGGGCGUAAAGCGCGCGUAGGCGGUUAUGCAAGCCAGAGGUGAAAUGCCUGAGCUCAACUUAGGAAUUGCCUUUGGAACUGCAUGGCUUUGAGGACGAGAGAGGUGAGUGGAAUUCCCAGUGUAGAGGUGAAAUUCGUAGAUAUUGGGAAGAACACCGGUGGCGAAGGCGGCUCACUGGCUCGUUUCUGACGCUGUAGCGCGAAAGCGUGGGGAUCAAACAGGAUUAGAUACCCUGGUAGUCCACGCUGUAAACGAUGAGUGCUAGGCGUUGGCACGCUUGCGUGUCAGUGCGCNGCUACGCGUGAGCACNCCGCCGUGGGAGGUACGGUCGCGAGAAGUUAAAACUACAAAUAGAAGUUAGACGGCGUGAGACGUAGCCGAACGGACGACGACGAGGGGAGGAGGG